UUCCAGUUUCAAGAGAGGAGUUUACUAGUGUAUGCUGAACUUUCUGAUGAUAGUUUAAAUGUAAUUGCUCAGUCAGUCUGGAACUGGAAAGACAGCUACUUUCUCUGUAGCUAUUUUACAACAAAUAGACACUAGCCUAAGAGAAUGCCAAGCUUUAAUAUUAGUUACAACAAGAGAAUUGGCUCAACAGAUUCAAAAAGUGGUAAUUGCUUUAGGAGACUAUAUGAAUGACCAAUGUCAUGCUUGUAUUGGUGGAACUAAUGUGCAAGAAGAUCUUUGUAAAUUGGAAAUGGGUGUGCAUGUUGUUGUUGGCACUCCAGGCAGAGUAUUUGAUAUGAUAAAUAGAAAAGCUCUUAGAUGAAAUCGCCCACAUUACCUGAAAAAUUGGAAACCCAAUAUUUAAAUAAAUACAGUUUAAAAUUUGGAAAUAAAACAUACAGCGGGAUAAAAAUGGUUAAGGAGGAAUGGAUUUUAAUAGAAAUUCUUAUUCAAUAUGAUGAUGAGAGAAAAGUAUAUUUUACAGAUGAAGAGAACAAAUGGCAGGUAUGGAUGAAUAUCCAGAUGAAAAAUGGUUUAACACCACUUAACGAAAGAAUACUGUCAGAAAUAGAAAUAUAGUGAUUCUGUUAAAUAACAAAAAAUUUUGAGAUUUAAAAUAUUUAAAGUUAUCAUUAAGAAAAAAUGUAAUUAUUUUAAAACAAAGUAAUAAUUGGAUAGUGGUAAAAAUAGAAGAUAAAAUAAUAAUAUUUGAAGAAUCUAUGGAAUCUGUAGAUUGAAAGUGAUAUUUAAGAAAUGUAACUUGGUUCUUUUCAGUUUGGAUCUUUGAGCUUAGAUCUGGUAAGUUAAAAAAUAAAAUAAAAUUUUGAUUAAAUAUGAUGAUUUUUUGUCUCGUUCGUAUGAUCAAUGAUUAAAAAAGUAGCUGAAAAAAAAUUA